CACUCAAGAAACUUUGGAGACAAGUGAGAAAUGUGUCCUCUGUUUGCGGAUGCAAUGUUGUUGACAUUCUUGAAGGAAGAGGUCUCCUUGAAUCAAUCACCAGCGAGAAUCUCAUGUCAGCUUGUUCCAAACCAAAGGUAGAGAGGGGGAGAGAGAGAGGGCGGGGGCCUCGAGAGCUGUGAAUCUCCAGCACAUUUAAGUUCCAGUUUAAAUUGAGACAAUAAAUCGAUUGAGGUCGCUGGCAUCGAGUCUCUGCAACUCCAUCCAGACGAUGUUUUUCUCACGGAGACGAUGAUCUCAACAGGGAAGAAGUGAUGGAUAGUGUUCUCGGCAUUGUCAAGAACAUCAAGGACCAGUGUUCGUAGCUGUCUUGUUUUUCGUGCUGUUAUCGCCUUGUUUGCUAAUCUGGGUGCCUGGUUGGAACCAUUUCAUUGAGUUCGACAACUUCCAGAUCAGUGGGGGUAUCGAUUUUGGUUCACUCCAUUCUCUACUUUACCCCAUCUUCAUCGUCUUGCUUGCUAUUGGAUUUCACAUUUGCCUUGGUUGAUCUUGAUGAUAUCAACUUACAUGGCAUGACUACGUUAAUGUUUGAUUUCCUUCAUUCCUUCCUUGCUUGGGGUUUCUGAGUUGCUUCACUUCCCUUGAUAUCUGCUAACGGUGUCGCUUUUACAUCUCUCUUGUUCUCUUUGUGAUCAAUAGAAUUCUGAUAUGAGUGACAUGUUAUCACAAUUGAUUUUAGUUUUCAUUUGAU